UGGGGGGCUGAAAUGCUCUCUGGGCUUCGGUCAGCUGAGUUCAAUGAGUGCCUUCUCUUCGGAGUUGGCCAUCCACACACACCGUGAACUGUGGCUUCGGCCAUCACAAACUGUUAGUAAUGAAUGUAAUAUCAUAACAAAAACAAAACUUUUAACAACGGAUCUCUUGGCUCUCGCAUCGAUGAAGAACGCAGCGAAAUGCGAUAAGUAAUGUGAAUUGCAGAAUUCAGUGAAUCAUCGAAUCUUUGAACGCACCUUGCGCCCUUUGGUAUUCCGAAGGGCAUGCCUGUUUGAGUGUCAUGAAACCUCACCCCACUUGGGUUUUUGCCUGAGCGGUGGUGUAUUGGGUGUUGCCUUGCCAAAGGCUCGCCUUAAAAACAUAAGCACCUUGGAUGUAAUACGUUUCAUCCUUCUGGGUGGCUGAUAACCCCACAUAUUCAUGAUCUGGCCUCAAAUCAGGUAGGGCUACCCGCUGAACUUAAGCAUAUCAAAACGGCGGAGGAAGCCAUCAUUAAUUAUCCUACUCUACGGUACGGUCAGCUGAGUUCAAUGAGUGCCUUCUCUUCGGAGUUGGCCAUCCCCACCCCCGCAACUGUGGGUUCGGCUCCAAACUGUUUAUUAAUGAAUGUAAAAUCAUAACAAAAAAAAAAUUUUAACAAGGAUCUCUUGGCUUCUCGAUUAAGGAACCGCAAAUGGAUAACUAAUGAGUAUUGCAGAAAUCGUGAAUCAUCGCAUCUUUGACGACUUGCUUUGGUAUUGAAGGCAUGCUGUGUGUGCUGAAACUAUGCGGUUUUGCCGAACGUGGGGAUUGGUGUCGUCUGCCAGGCUCCUUAACUAGCCUGCGAGAAUACCUUCUCCUUCUGGGUGAACCAUUCUUGAUGUUCAUGAUGUCCUCUAUCUAUAGCGAUAAUA
rnacentral:rRNA from 1 species